rnacentral:lncRNA from 1 species
AGUUCAGCGUGAAAACAUUUUUUCAUAAAAAAAUUUUUACGGAUUUGAAAAAAGUUGAUAUUUUUGUUUGUUACUAUUUUUUUGACGGAAAAAAAAAUUCAAACUGCAUAAAAUUUUUUUUAUUCAUUUUUUUUCACCAUGAACCAAAUAAAUGUGAAUUUUUUUCUUUCAACCAAAUAAAUAUUGAUGAAAAAAAAAAAUUUCUACAAACCAAACAAUAAAAGGCGUAAAAAAAAAAAUUCCAUCAAAAAUUUUUUUCACGAAAAAUUAUUUUUUACGAUUUUACAUUGAACC